rnacentral:rRNA from 1 species
UACGUAGGGUGCAAGCGUUUGUCCGGAAUUAUUGGGCGUAAAGAGCUCGUAGGCGGUCUGUCGCGUCUGGUGUGAAAAUCCAGGGCUUAACCCUGGACCUGCAUCGGGUACGGGCAGACUAGAGUGCGGUAGGGGAGAUCGGAAUUCCUGGUGUAGCGGUGAAAUGCGCAGAUAUCAGGAGGAACACCGGUGGCGAAGGCGGAUCUCUGGGCCGUAACUGACGCUGAGGAGCGAAAGCAUGGGGAGCGAACAGG